AUGAGGCACUUGUAUGCAAAUUUUAUGAAGAAAUUCCAUGGUAAAGUGUACACAGAUAAUCUUUAUCCAGCUGCACGGUCUUUCUCACAUCGAAAUUUUAUGCAUCAUAUGAAGAAAAUCCAGGAUGCAAAUCCAGCGGCUAUUGAAUAUCUAGAUAUUCAUCACAAUAGGUUGUGGUAUAGAUGUGGUUUUGGAGAGGCCAGUAAGGUUGAUUAUUUGACAAACAACAUAUCCGAGAGUUUCAACAAGCAAAUAAAAGACUUCAAAGGGCUCAAUGUCCUGAACCUUUUUGACAAAAUUAGGGAGAUCAUCACAGAGAAGUUCUAUAUUAGAGGACAAGUAAGUAAGCAGCUAAAGGGUAGGAUUCUUCCUCAUGUCAUUAAGCAGCUAAAAUGCUCUCAGCAAAACCAUUGGUCGAAACAAGAUUCUUUGGACCAGUGA
rnacentral:rRNA from 1 species